GAUUUUAAAAUUAGGUUGUAAGGGGAGAAUAUGUUGGCAAAUCCACGUGUAAUAAUUUCACUACAGCGCUGGGAGCCGGUCAGAGAGUUUUAUCCUACUCAUUCUACAUUCCUCCGCUUUCCUCUAAAGGAAAACCUUUGGAAAAUAAAGCCUCUGAGCUGCGAUACACUCAACUUAUAGCAGAUAUUUUAAUGCGGGCACAGCUGUACUAUCCUGACUGGAGAAUUCGUAUUUAUCAUAAUAUUACAGAAAAUGAAUUUGAGGCAAGAACAUAUUUUUUAACUUCAACAGUGUAUUUUUGGCAGCAAUAUAGAUGUAGUUCAACUAUCUGUAAAUGGUUCAACCACUUUUAACAUUUCAUUAAACCUGACCUCAUGCAGGAAAUAUUUAUGAAUUUAAAGGGACUGUAAGCGU